GGCCAGACUCCUACGGGAGGCAGCAGUGGGGAAUAUUGGGCAAUGGAGGAAACUCUGACCCAGCAACGCCGCGUGAAGGAUGAAGGUUUUCGGAUUGUAAACUUCUGUCGCGAGGGACGAAGAAUGACGGUACCUCGUAAGAAAGCCCCGGCUAACUACGUGCCAGCAGCCGCGGUAAUACGUAGGGGGCGAGCGUUGUCCGGAAUGACUGGGCGUAAAGGGAGUGUAGGCGGCAAUAUAAGUUAGAUGUGAAAUCCCGCGGCUCAACCGCGGAACUGCAUCUAAAACUAUAUAGCUGGAGUGCAGGAGAGGUGAGUGGAAUUCCUAGUGUAGCGGUGAAAUGCAUAGAUAUUAGGAGGAACACCAGUGGCGAAGGCGGCUUACUGGACUGUAACUGACGUUGAGGCUCGAAAGCGUGGGGAGCAAACAGGAUUAGAUACCCUGGUA
rnacentral:rRNA from 1 species